rnacentral:rRNA from 1 species
GGGGAAUAUUGCACAAUGGAGGAAACUCUGAUGCAGCGACGCCGCGUGAGCGAAGAAGGCCUUCGGGUCGUAAAGCUCUGUCCUAUGGGACGAUAAUGACGGUACCAUAGGAGGAAGCCCCGGCUAACUACGUGCCAGCAGCCGCGGUAAUACGUAGGGGGCGAGCGUUGUCCGGAAUGACUGGGCGUAAAGGGUACGUAGGCGGCCAGAUAAGUCAGAUGUGAAAGGCAUGGGCUUAACCCGUGUUAGCAUUUGAAACUGUGUGGCUUGAGUUAAGGAGAGGAAAGUGGAAUUCCUGGUGUAGCGGUGAAAUGCGUAGAUAUCAGGAGGAAUACCAGUGGCGAAGGCGACUUUCUGGACUUAAACUGACGCUGAGGUACGAAAGCGUGGGGAGCAAAC